AUUGAACGCUGGCGGCAUGCCUUACACAUGCAAGUCGAACGGCAGCGGGGACUUCGGUCCGCCGGCGAGUGGCGAACGGGUGAGUAAUGCAUCGGAACGUACCCGGAAGUGGGGGAUAACGUAGCGAAAGUUACGCUAAUACCGCAUAUUCUGUGAGCAGGAAGGAGGGGGAUCUUCGGACCUCUUGCUUUCGGAGCGGCCGAUGUCAGAUUAGCUAGUUGGUGAGGUAAAGGCUCACCAAGGCGACGAUCUGUAGCGGGUCUGAGAGGAUGAUCCGCCACACUGGAACUGAGACACGGUCCAGACUCCUACGGGAGGCAGCAGUGGGGAAUUUUGGACAAUGGGCGCAAGCCUGAUCCAGCCAUGCCGCGUGAGUGGAGAAGGCCUUCGGGUUGUAAAGCUCUUUCGCAAGGGAAGAAACGAUAGUGACGAAUAAUCACUGUUAAUGACGGUACCUUGAUAAGAAGCACCGGCUAACUACGUGCCAGCCGCCGCCGUAAUAC
rnacentral:rRNA from 1 species